rnacentral:ncRNA from 2 species
UAAGAGGGAACCCGGUGGGAAUCCGGGACUGCCCCGCAGCGGUGAGCGGGAACGACCGCCGUCAUACGCACUGGGCCCGCCGGGUCCGGGAAGCGACGGCCAGUAGGGGUCCGCCCUUCACAAGGGUGGGCGCGCCCGCGAGUCCGAAGACCU